AAGUGUAAUCAAGGUGGCUAUUUGGUUAGUGGGCUUGGUGAACAAGGAAUGCCUCUAUCUUAUCAUAAGUGCAUCACACUACUUAACAGUAUCAAAGAGAAUUAGUCCAAGUUCUGGGAUGCUAAUAUCCUAUGUGCAAUCACACAAAAGAAAUCAUAGGCUCAAAACUCACUAGGUUCUAUUAACAUGUAAGAACUGAUUUUAGAACUGGUCUCCCAAUAAUUUAUUAUGUGCAAUCACAGUAAAGAAAUCAUAGGCUCAAAACUCACUAGGUUCUAUUAACAUGUAAGAACUGAUUUUAGAGUUGGUCUCCCAAUAAUUUAUGCAUUUUCACCUCAAUUAACUUAUUCUAAUAGGUUAUACCGUCUAAAUACGCAUGCAGAUCAAAGAAACUCACUAAAAAUCAGUAAAACAGCAAAAGAUCUAGUUCUAUACAGCUGGUAAAGGGCUGAGUUUUCUCUCAAAGCAUCUCCAUGGUAAAAUAUUUUUUUCGAUGCCUAAUUAUCUUGUUAUUGUUACUUAGGAUUUAGGAACAUAAUUUAGUUUUCACCCUUAAAUUUUUUAACUUUAAAAACCACUGCAAAAGAAAACUUAAAAAACCAACACAACCAUCUCAUUAAUGAUGCAUCAUGAGCACAAUGUACGGGUCUUAUUACUUACUAUAGAAUCUGAAAUGUGGGAGACCACAUCUAUCUCCAGAAAAUUAAGAGACAAUACAAGGAGGUACACAUCCCAUCAAGUAAAAAUUAAAAUUCUAACACCAUAAGUAGCUAAACUAUCCAUAAACUUCAGAAACAUUACCAAAUACAGGUAACAGUUGAGCAUAGUUGUUCCCUCAAUUAAAAUUUUAGAAUGUCAAAUAAUCUUAGCACAAAUGCACAGUAAAAGAAAAAAGGUGACAUGCAACAGUAGCAUUUUGAUAAAUAAUAAUAUUAAAGAAAAAACAAAAAAUACAGUGACCACAGCAAUCACACCAAUGCUUACUUUUAGAUAUAAAAUCGUGCCAAGAAUAAACUAUAUUACUCUCUUUUAUAAUAUCCUUUAUCAGGUCCACCAGUGGCCUUAUCUACAAACCACAAAAAUACGACAAUCAAAACAUACAGGCAUAUGAGCUCACCACCAGUAUAUGUGUCUUCAUCAUACACACACAUGAACAAACAGAAAGGAGAAAUAUCUCUAACAUUUGCAUACAAAACAAACCUUUGAUCUGGGAUGAGGCUUUUGGAAAAAAGGAAAAGUUUUGUGCCAAGGCCAACUAAGCACAAAGCAAUGGAGUGACCUUAAGAAAAGAGAGGAAUAAGCAAACAGAAUAAAAUAAAAACGAAACAGCCAAAGAUGGUUAUCAAAUAACUUAUACCACAAAUAACUUAUGAAUGUGGUGCUUUUCCAUUAUCAUUGCUUGCAGCUUCCUGAAGUCCACAGGAGUAAAUGACGAAUUCAUACUUUAAUACCAAAAGGAUACACACAAAUUCUAACUUAAUGAAAAUUAGAGUAGAGAAAUCUAAAAAUCGAGAGUAAAAAAUUUGAGCUAGUACUUGAAAGAUACACAGUACAUUAAACUUAAUCCAGCAUAGAAUAAAUUAAGGAGCAAAUAAAGGGCAUAAUUCAUGUUUUAAUAUACAAUGCAACAAAUUUGUCAUUUGAAUAUCAAGAAAAAUAAAAGACUCAAUUUACAAAAGGGAAAGGCUAAACACAAAACAGGGAACUUCUAGACUUUAUCACAGCUCAUUCAAACCUGCCAAAUCACAUCAAUCCUACCUAUUUCUCUAAUCAGAACUGCACAAAAGAAUUUUCAACUUUAAACUCAAGCUUCAACAAUUCUAGCAAAUGAAAANNAGCUUAAUUCAAUNAAAAACAGCAAAGAUAACAUAUGGAAGAGUAGCAGUCAGUCUCAACCUCACAGGAUGCACAAUAUGCACUCAAAUCACUCAACUGUUUAGGGCUGUCCUGUUUCACUCAAUCAUGACAUGCUAACCUCAAAUCUCAACUUUGUAAAGACUCUAAAUGACAGUGCUUGACCCAAGGUUUUUUUAAAUCACUGGGUCUUUAUUUGGCUUGUAAUGUACAUGGAAUGGAAUGAAAACUAGAAAAAAAAAAAAAAAAACUGGAAACUGGAAUGAAAUGGAGAAGUGUGAAGAAAGAGGAAGAAAUCUAGAACUCAGUACAAGGUCUAACUCUUAAUCUUUGGNCAGCCAAUUUUUCUUUCUUUUUNUCUGGUUUUCUUUAUUUUUCACUCAUUUCAGGUCUUUCUUUUAUUUUCUUUUCUAUUUUUCUCAUUUUUUUGUUCUUUCCAGACCUGUUUCUUUCUUUUUCAACUAAACCAGAUUUUUCAGAUCAUUUUUUCUUUUUCACCUCUGGCCUUNCUCUUUUUCAUGCACUCACCAAUUUCUAGACUUCUCCCUACAUCUCACAAGUCUCUAAGAGUUUAUUAGUGGGUGGGGGGAAAGGCUUGAAAUGGAUGGAAACAAGAAAAUAGGCUAAAGCUCAAAAGAGGGUACAAUGGAAAGAAACUGACAUGGGUAAGCUAAAUUGGCUAUGACUGAAAAUGAAGAAUGCCUAGAUCAUAUUUAAAAUAUACCAAGAGCAACCACAUCAACAAAGAAUCAAUGCAAAAUUAGAAUGAGACCUAAAUAUGCAUGUUAUCACACAAGAAAGAAUUGAAAUGAACUAAAGCUGCAAAAAUCAAUCAUUGCUAGAACUACCUCAACCUAAAUCCAAAGCUAAAUCUACUUUUGACAACUCUAAUCUAAGGAAAUGAAGCUAAAAACUGAGUGAAAUCACCAAGGAAUGAAAAAAAGCUU
rnacentral:lncRNA from 1 species